ensembl:lncRNA
GUUAUCCUCAGUGAAAGCCCUGAAUCUUAAGUGCAGGUGGCAGCGCUGUAUUUAUUGAGGAAACCUCAAACUUUGGCAUUGUAACUGAACAUGUACCAGCAGGUGUGUACCAUCUGAGUGUAUGAGGCUCUAAAAGUGGCAUGAAAAGAACUCCUGCAGGUUUUUUUAUACCUCAUCUCCCAUCACUCCCUCACCAGUCACCUCUCUGCUAUGCCACGGUCGUUCCUUGUCAAGACUAAAAGGUCUCAUCUAGUUGGCCCAUCGAAGAAUUCCUUUGGGCAGCACUGCCGGUCUCGAACAGAUGAAGCCCAGCCUGUGCAGCAUGUGAUGGGACAGGACAGGAGGCAUCCCACUGAUGCUGUGAAUCCUUUGCCUUCGCCAUUUGGGGUCAAAGACCUUCUGGCUGAAACCUACUCGCCAUGGGAUGGGAUAACUGUCCAGUUUAAAGGGGGCGCCGCAGCCACAGAUGAUCCUUGGACUCCAGCAAAAGCCUUUGUGGCGAACAGGGCUGCCCAUGUGCCUGUCCUGGCAUGGUCAUCAGGCGGACAUCAGGCAUCUGAAAGAGAGAGGGAACUGGAGAGACUGGUCUUCAUGCUGCUCAACCACACAUUGCACACUGACCUAAAAACCCCAGUCAGCCAGUGUCCUCUCUGUGAAAAGUCUCUUUCUGAAGCCCUGCUAUCAGGUGGCCUGCAGACUCAUGUCCUGAAUCCACUGGCAAGAUCACCCUCUGCCCCAAACGUGCCCCACAUACCCUUCGGCUUCAAGGCGGUUGGUAGCUAUGGUCGCACAAAGGUAUAGUGGAUGGUGAGGAUGUUUCUGUGAGCGAAAUCAUUUAGAGUGCAAAGAAAUACUCCUCAUCUUUUUGUGUGUUUGCCCGUGUCUCGUAUUUUCAGGAACGUAGCUUUGGCUGCAAAGUGUGUGGAAAGGAGUUCAAGCGCUCGUCCACCCUGUCCACACACCUCCUCAUCCACUCAGACACAAGACCCUACCCUUGCCAGUACUGCGGCAAACGGUUCCACCAGAAAUCAGACAUGAAGAAGCACACUUUCAUACACACAGGUAGGUCAUCACAGCAGAGAACUGUACUGUUUAAAGUCCAAAGCCCUUCUUUCAAACACUGAGAACUUCUUCGCUCUGGACCAUCCUCAGGCGAGAAACCGCAUGUAUGCAAGGUGUGUGGUAAAGGAUUCAGCCAAAGCUCCAACCUCAUCACACACAGCCGAAAGCACAGCAGUUAUCAGCCGUUCAGCUGCCCCCACUGUCAGCGCACCUUCCGGUGCAGGGUUGACUUACAGCACCACCAAGAGACACAGUGCAGAUAUGGAAACAUGUACACUCAAAACUGAGGCCCUGAAGCAAGCAAGUGAUAGCAAAGCUCAGUCAAAUUGAAUUUGUAAAUAAUCCUAAUACAUUUGAAAUUAAAAAUAUAAACCAUGCAUGUGUGAUAAUGUUCAAUAAAACUGCUUGAAAAAUACAAUUCAUGCUCUUUCAUUUUGAAAAACGAUCACAGAUCCCUCAGGAAACUCAUCACAAAAACUCAUUCACUUACAUAAUUGAGUUAUUACUCCAGUGUGCACUGGGCAGCAGCGUAAAGUCAACCAGUGUUAUUUUCAGAAACUCUUUUCUGAGAUGGAUGAGUUUGAUCGUGUGUGUGUGUGUGUGUGUGUGUGUGUGUGUGUGUGUAUGAGUUCACUUUAGCUUGUUUCAGAGAUCCAAUCCAAUCCAAUACAUGAUCUAGGAUGUACUUUCACUGCUUGCAUCUAAAAGGAGACUUAUUUUGACAAUGUAUUGAAAUGAUUUUGGAGUCAGUCUCAGCUGACACUAUGGACGGCCGGAG